rnacentral:ncRNA from 2 species
CGGGUUUUUAGAACCCACAGAAGCUGUUAAGACAACUGUAUCACCAUAACGAAUGAAAGCUGCGCCACUUGCUUGUUUUGCGAUUUGGCCCACUUCGAUUACGAAUGGUUUACCGCCUAGUGUUGUUUCAAAUACUUGUUUUUCAGUCAUUAAAAUAGUCCCCUUCCAAAUUAUAAAAAUAAAA